GAAAUGCGAUAAGUAAUGUGAAUUGCAGAAUUCAGUGAAUCAUCGAAUCUUUGAACGCACAUUGCGCCCGUUAGCAUUCUAGCGGGCAUGCCUGUCCGAGCGUCAUUUCAACCCUCAGGGUCCCCGUUUCGGCGGGGAACCUGGUGUUGGGGAUCGGCCCGCCCCGCGCGGCGCCGUCCCCCAAAUCUAGUGGCGGUCUCGCUGCAGCCUCCCCUGCGUAGUAGUUUACAACCUCUCACCGGAGCGCGGCGCGGCCACGCCGUAAAACCCCCGACUUUCUGAACGUUGACCUCGGAUCAGGUAGGAAUACCCGCUGAACUUAAGC
rnacentral:misc_RNA from 1 species